rnacentral:rRNA from 1 species
GACGAACGCUGGCGGCGUGCCUAACACAUGCAAGUCGAACGGACGAGAUUUCUUCGGAGAUCGAGUUAGUGGCGAACGGGUGAGUAACGCGUGAGCAACCUGCCUUUCAGAGGGGGACAACAGUUGGAAACGACUGCUAAUACCGCAUAUGCCUUAACUAUCGCAUGAUAGAAGAGGGAAAGGAGAAAUCCGCUAACAGAUGGGCUUGCGUCUGAUUAGAUAGUUGGUAGGGUAACGGCCUACCAAGUCGACGAUCAGCAGCCGGCCUGAGAGGGUGAACGGCCACAUUGGGACUGAGACACGGCCCAG